GUUUGUACGCCGGUGGCUCUUCUCCGCUGUCAGUGUGUAAAUGCCCUCUGCAUGCAAAUCAUACAGAUUUGGGACCACAUGAGGGUGAGUAAAUAAUGACU
ensembl:lncRNA